CUAGCUAUAGCAGCAAUACUGGUUUCUGCCAAGGCAAGGUACUUGCAAAACCAUGUCUGAGGCUGGAGGAUGGAAGGAAGGCAGCAGGUACAGGACAGCUACUGCCUUCAAUAUGCCAUCUUCCUCUCAGGGUAACCCUCAUGGCAACAAGGAAACAGAGAAGGUUGAAAACACCCAGAAGCUGGCAGCGUCUGAAGAGAAACAAGGAGGCCAAGCAUCAGCGCACCAACAACAGCAAAAGCAGUAUUGCUAAGAAAGAGCUCGAUGACCUGGAGCAAUGGAAGAAAGAACACAGGCCGGGGCCAAUUACGUUGGUGCCACAGAGACUGGGUGGAAAUGAAUCAGAGGCUCAAGUACGACAAAACCAACAAAUGAUUCUCCUGCAAUCUAAAUACCAGAAAAAGGUCAGUAAGAAUAAAUGUAUUUGUUUAUUUUUAGAACUCAAAAGA
rnacentral:lncRNA from 1 species